rnacentral:lncRNA from 1 species
ACAGUUUUCAGAUUUAUUAAAAAAAAAAUGCAUACGACAGAAAAGUCUGUACAUGCAUGGCAAAGUACAGAAGUGUUCCCUCUGAGCAUUUUUUAUUUUUCAACUUUGAUGUUUCAUCUAUCACACUCUGUCCUUCAGGACAUCAUCGAGUGCUGAUCCUGCCAGAAAGCUGGCAGUGUCAAGCUUCUUGGCAAGCUUGCCUGUUUUCCCACCAAGGGAAUUGCUGGCAAGGGCAACUAUUGUCCACGUGCUGUAAACAAAACCCAGCAGGAACACUUCGCAAAUCCAUAUGCUCAAGGACAACCUCAUCUUAUCAUAUACAUGUUUAAGAAAGAUGUCUCCAUCCAUGCACAAAGACAUCAUUCAGUAAAGGUACCUUUUACAUUGUACUAACAGUGAACUGCAUCCUCGAUCCUCUCGCUCUCUGCUCUUAUUGUGUCGCUGACAUUCAAUCGAGCCUUUUUUGGCGGGCCGAAAGAAGAGACGGAGCUUUCCUCAGUGGGCCACCUUUCUGCGCCAGUCUUUGAGCCUCUGAAAAUCUGCAACGGCAAAGAGUCGCGAACACAGAGCCUACCGAAGAAAAACUGCUUCUGCUAGAGCUGCUUAGUGCGGAGUUCAGCACAACACAUGGAAAGCAUGAAGCCACAAGAAGGAGAGCUAGCAAUAAAGAUUUCUGAGCUGCAGAGCAUGGUAUCAGAACUGAAGACUGUAUUUUCAAGUGCCCUGCUUGAGUUAAAUCAGAUCAAGGACUCAGACACGUGCCUUCAGGAAGACCUUCGAGAGACUAAGCAGACCUGUGAGAAGCGCACUCGUCACCUGGAGGCCUUGGUGUAUUCCCUCAAGGAGGAGCUCAUAGAGGUGCGCUGCCAGUUGCUGCAGCUGCGAUGUGAUCAGCAGAAGCUCCAACAAAGUUUAAAGAUGAGCUGUAUCAGAGGGUUAGGACCUCAGAGAAACUGCUGUGGUUGCUCCAUGGACAGAGAGGCCCAUUGCGAUGGUCUACUUCUCCACUGCUACCUGCAGGGAGGAUGUGCAGGGUGGCAUCCCCACACAGGAACGUUUGUGAUCCCUAAUGUGCCAUCCAGGACAGCUGAACUCACUUCUGCAGUAACAACAUCCUGUGGUAGUGAUGUCCCUUAUGCAAGCCCUUGUGAAGGCAGGAGGAUGCAGGUAACCCUGGAGCUGCUCCACUCUGAACAAGAAUACGUGAAGACGCUGAAUCAGCUUCUUGAGAAGUACAGAAUGCUUUCAGCACUGGAAAAAGAGCAGGAUUCACAUGAGAAAUUUUUGAACUACACCGAACAACUGUUACGCCAACAUCGACUGUUCAGGAAUGAACUUGAGGACUGUCUCACCAGAGGACAUGGGCUGGAUCGUGUGGCUGAUGCUUUUGCCAAACUCAUGUGCCAAGAUGAGUCUGCUUUUUCUGAAAUGUACCUGGGAUACCUGAGGACCCUCCCUGAAAUCAUCUCAGCUCUUCACAAAUCAGAUGUUGCAGCGUAUAACACACAGGCAUCCUUGGGGGAGAGAAAGGAGCUGCUGGAGGUCUUCCCAAUCCUAGCCCCUGUGUCACAGAUUCACAACUAUUUAAUUCAUACACAAAGUGAGCUGCAAUGGACAAGAAGAGACCACGGAGAUUACGACCUCUUGGAAGAGAGGAAGCGAGUUCUUUGGCAGCUCCUCUCUCGGUGUCACGACCUUCUGGAGGAGGCCAGCCUGGGAACCCUCAAGGAAGCGGCAGGAUGCAGGAGUGUGUCUCCACAUGAGCUCCACUCUGCGAGGAAGAACUGCAGUCCUGCUGAUGCUACACAUCACCUCUGUGUCCCACACCACGUCCAACACACCUUCUUCCCAGCAACUGCAAACCCAGACAGGAAGGAAGGAAUGAGUGCAUCUGGGCAGGGCUUCCUGCUAAGGCUGAAGCCCUCUGGAGAACAAGCCUGUGGUCAAGAGCGCCCUGACAUAAGGGAGAAUGUUGCAGAUGGCGACACGGACCAGGAAGACUUCGGCAACACCUCCGUUUUCGAUUACUCCUCGGUGACCUCGUGCAGCCCCGAUGGCACCUAUGAGAUGGGGGCUAAAGCAGGGGAGGAAGGCUUGGGCAUCCCUGGGCGAGGAAACCUCAGCGAUGGCGACACGGACAGUCAGGUACCUGUCCUUCUGAAGCCCUCGCACACACCCAGCUCGCCACUGGAGCACGGAACAUCUGCAGAAGCGUCAUCGUGCCCGAGGUGGCAGGUGCCCAGGGUGUCCCAAGAGCACGGUGUCGCAAAGAACAUCUCUCACUCUCCUAGCAGGACGUUCAGAAUCACCUGGGAUGAGUCAUUUAAACAGGGUGAUUCUCCACCCAAUGAAUGCAAGAAGUCCGGGAGGCAGUCAGCUUCCAAACUGGCACAAGUAGGAAGGUACCAGAGGGUAGUGCGGCAAGCGACCCUCCUUGGUGUGCCAUGUGGAGGCCCCAUGCGAGAGAACACAAAUGGAACAAGUCCAUGGGAAGAGAGUGAAGAUGAGGGACCCUGCAGUACUGUGUGA